GACGAACGCUGGCGGCGUGCUUAACACAUGCAAGUCGAACGAAGAGCGACGGAAGUUUGCUUCUAUCAAUCUUAGUGGCGAACGGGUGAGUAACGCGUAAUCAACCUGCCCUUCAGUGGGGGACAACAGUUGGAAACGACUGCUAAUACCGCAUACGAUCUAACCUCGGCAUCGAGGAUAGAUGAAAGGUGGCCUUUUCAUGUAAGGUUGGACUCGAGGCGGGGAGUGUGUCUGAUUAGCUAGUGGGUGGGGUAACGGCCCACCAAGGCGAGGAGUAGUGGCCGGACUGAGAGGGAGAGCGGCCACAUUGGGACUGAGACACGGCCCAGACUCCUACGGGAGGGAGCAGGGGGGGAGCUUCCGCAAGGGAAGAGAGUCUGACGGAGGAACGCCGCGGGAGUGAUGACUGCCUUCGGGUUGGAAAGCUCUGUUAAUCGGGACGAAAGGCCUUCUUGCGAAUAGUGGGAAGGAUUGACGGUACCGGAAUAGAAAGCCACGGCUAACUACGUG
rnacentral:rRNA from 1 species